UCUGGUGUUCCACGUAUGCCUAUGUAUCCUGCUGCUGGACCUGGAAUUGGACAACAAUUAUUUUAUGGCCAAGCACCCCCUGCACUUAUUUCUCAUCAGGUAAUUUUUUAAUUACAUUGUUUAUUCUUUCAAAGUUUAGGUAAAAAAUCUAUCAAUCAUUUUUUAUUCAACUUCAUCCUUUAAAAAUAUUUUAUGAGACAUGAACUGUUUAAAAAGAUAUAGUAAGAGACAUAAAUUUUAAUUCGGUCAGGUUUUUAAACAACCAUCGAUGAUUUGUAUUUUUUAUCGAUGAUUUUAGAUAGGAUAUUUUUGAUUUAAUUAGAACUUGAAAUAAAAAAAACUCUUAUUGUUCUUAUUCCUUAUUUUUAUUUUAGACAUCAAUUUUAAUUCGGUCAGGUUUUUAACCAACCGUCGAUGUUUUGUAUUUUUUAUCGAUGAUUUUAUAUAGGAUAUUUUUGAUUUAAAUAGAACUUGAAAUAAAAAAAUUCUUAUUGUUCUUAUUUCUUAUUUUUAUUUCUUGACAUUUAUUUGUUUGGUCAAUUAAUCACAUAUGGAUAUUUUUUUAGCCUGGUUUUGGUUAUCAACAACCACUUGUUCCUGGUAUGAGGCCUGGAGGUGCUCCAUUUUUUAUGCCUUUUGUCCAACAAGGUCAGCAGGGGCCAAGGUCUGGUGGUGGUAGGCGUACUGGACCAGGAGGGCACAUGCAACAAAGUCAGCAACCAAUGCCAAUGGUUCAGCAACAGGUAUCCUGGCUUAUAUAUAUUUUUUACUCUUCAUCUUGUUUUUGAUUUCAUUCCUGUCUUUUGUUUUGCAGAUGUUUCCUAGGGGUGGAAGGAUGUAUCGUUUCCCACCGGGAAGAAAUAUACCUGACAUGCCUAUUCCUGGUGCAAGUGGUGGCAUGCUUUCUUCUCCAUUUGAUAUGGGUGGUUUUCCUGGAAGAGAUGGUGCCAUGUCACAGCCUAUACCUAUAUCAGCACUGGCUUCAUCUCUUGCAAACGCUCCUCCUGAUCAGCAGAGAAUGGUAUACAUUACAAAUCUUUUUAUCUUUUUAUUGUAGUUCUCAAAAAUAUAAUUUUUUGUUUUGUAGAUGCUUGGAGAAAGUUUGUACCCACUUGUUGAUCAAAUUGAGCAUGAUAUGGCUGCUAAGGUUACUGGAAUGCUUCUUGAAAUGGACCAAACUGAAGUUCUACACUUGCUGGAAUCGCCUGAGGC
rnacentral:lncRNA from 1 species